rnacentral:rRNA from 1 species
UCCCCAAGAGUCCAUAUCGACGGGAUGGUUUGGCACCUCGAUGUCGGCUCGUCGCAUCCUGGGGCUGGAGUCGGUCCCAAGGGUUGGGCUGUUCGCCCAUUAAAGCGGUACGCGAGCUGGGUUUAGAACGUCGUGAGACAGUUCGGUCCCUAUCCGCUGUGCGCGUAGGAAUAUUGAGAAGGGCUGUCCCUAGUACGAGAGGACCGGGACGGACGAACCUCUGGUGUGCCAGUUGUCCUGCCAAGGGCAUGGCUGGUUGGCUACGUUCGGAAAGGAUAACCGCUGAAAGCAUCUAAGCGGGAAGCCUGCUUCGAGAUGAGUAUUCCCACCCUCUUGAAGGGUUAAGGCUCCCAGUAGACGACUGGGUUGAUAGGCCAGAUGUGGAAGCCUUGUAAGGGGUGGAGCUGACUGGUACUAAUAGGCCGAGGGCUUGUCCUCAGUUG